rnacentral:tRNA from 5 species
CGGGAAGUAGCUCAGCUUGGUAGAGCACAUGGUUUGGGACCAUGGGGUCGCAGGUUCGAAUCCUGUCUUCCCGAUCA